AAAAAUAGGUCUCAGUUCGGAUUGCAGGCUGCAACCCGCCCUGCAUGAAGUUGGAAUUGCUGUAAUCGCGGAUCAGCAUGCCGCGGUGAAUACGUUCCCUGGCCUUGUACACACCGCCCGUCACACCAUGGGAGCCGGUAAUACCCGAAGUCAGUAGCCUAACCGCAAGGGGGGCGCUGCCGAAGGUAGGAUUGGCGACUGGGGUGAAGUCGUAACAAGGUAAC
rnacentral:rRNA from 1 species